rnacentral:rRNA from 1 species
AUCUCAGUUCGGAUUGUAGUCUGNAACCCGACUACAUGAAGCUGGAAUCGCUAGUAAUCGCAGAUCAGAAUGCUGCGGUGAAUACGUUCCCGGGUCUUGUACACACCGCCCGUCACACCAUGGGAGUUGGAAAUGCCCGAAGCCAGUGACCCAACCGUAAGGAGGGAGCUGUCGAAGGUGGAGCCGAUGACUGGGGUGAAGUCGUAACAAGGUAGC